UCCUCCUCUCGCUGCCAGGAGUUGAAGCGGAGCUGCGGCACCCCCCUGGCAGAUCGGGUGUCCCUCCUCGCCGCUGAGGCUGCCCGGCCUUCUCCCCUUUUCCCCUACGCGGGAAUCGAGGGGGUGCGCGGCAGUGCCGGGAUCGGGCUGCGUGUUGGCUGAGUGCGACAAACCGCGAGCGCGGGCAGCGGAGGCGCCGCGGCGGCCGUGGCCGCUCGGAGCGCAGCAAUAGUCAGGUGUGUGUGUCCAGGGGGGGACGCGCGCUGCCGGCUCCUGGGCUGGCGACAGAUUGUGCAGGAAUGCGAGGAAUGCACCAGGGGCAGAGUCCACACAACCCUCCGCGGCUGCACUAGCGCCUUCCCGGCCCAGCUCUCGCCGUGCAGCCAGAGGUCACCGGAGCAUCUUCGGAGCUGGAGGAAUGCCAGCUCCUGAGCAGACCUCAUUGGUGGAGGAGGGGCAACCACAGACCCACCAGGAAGCUGCCUCCACUGGCCCAGGCAUGGAACCCGAGACCACAGCCACCACUAUUCUAGCUUCUGUGAAGGAGCAGGUGUUUACAUCCCUGAGUACAUUGGGAUGACUGGCAUGUAGAGCUGCUCCAGGUGCCAGUCAGAAUCGG